rnacentral:rRNA from 1 species
GAUGAACGCUGGCGGCGUGCCUAAUACAUGCCAGUCGAGCGAACAGACGAGGAGCUUGCUCCUCUGACGUUAGCGGCGGACGGGUGAGUAACACGUGGAUAACCUACCUAUAAGACUGGGAUAACUUCGGGAAACCGGAGCUAAUACCGGAUAAUAUAUUGAACCGCAUGGUUCAAUAGUGAAAGACGGUUUUGCUGUCACUUCUAGAUGGAUCCGCGCCGCAUUAGCUAGUUGGUAAGGUAACGGCUUACCAAGGCAACGAUGCGUAGCCGACCUGAGAGGGGGAGCGGCCACACUGGAACUGAGACACGGUCCAGACUCCUACGGGAGGCAGCAGUAGGGAAUCUUCCGCAAUGGGCGAAAGCCUGACGGAGCAACGCCGCGGGAGUGAUGAAGGUCUUCGGAUCGUAAAACUCUGUUAUUAGGGAAGAACAAAUGUGUAAGUAACUAUGCACGUCUUGACGGUACCUAAUCAGAAAGCCACGGCUAACUACGUC